GACGAACGCUGGCGGCGUGCCUAAUACAUGCAAGUCGAGCGGACAGAUGGGAGCUUGCUCCCUGAUGUUAGCGGCGGACGGGUGAGUAACACGUGGGUAACCUACCUGUAAGACUGGGAUAACUCCGGGAAACCGGGGCUAAUACCGGAUGGUUGUUUGAACCGCAUGGUUCAAACAUAAAAGGUGGCUUCGGCUACCACUUACAGAUGGACCCGCGGCGCAUUAGCUAGUUGGUGAGGUAACGGCUCACCAAGGCAACGAUGCGUAGCCGACCUAAGAGGGUGAUCGGCCACACUGGGACUGAGACACGGCCCAGACUCCUACGGGAGGCAGCAGUAGGGAAUCUUCCGCAAUGGACGAAAGUCUGACGGAGCAACGCCGCGUGAGUGAUGAAGGUUUUCGGAUCGUAAAGCUCUGUUGUUAGGGAAGAACAAGUACCGUUCG
rnacentral:rRNA from 1 species